rnacentral:misc_RNA from 1 species
AAGUCGUAACAAGGUAACCGUAGGUGAACCUGCGGUUGGAUCAUUAUAAGAUUAGGCGUUCGUUCGCUCGUUCGUUCCACAUUUUGUGCACUGUGCUGUCUCUGGCGGCGGGAUGGAUUGGGAGCGAGAGUUCCGUGAUGGAGUUCCGUUCGCACUCUGUCUGUCAGUUUCCAAAAGGGGGGAGGAUGUUUCCAUUCCCCUUGCUGGGGACCGUGGACAAACCGCCAAACGAGGUUCUCUGAACAAAACACAUUCUGAUAAAAUAUCUGUCUAACAUCAGUGUUGUUAUUGAAUUUAACAAACAACUUUUGGCAACGGAUCUCUUGGCUCUC